AUUGAACGCUGGCGGCAUGCCUUACACAUGCAAGUCGAACGGCAGCACGGGAGCAAUCCUGGUGGCGAGUGGCGAACGGGUGAGUAAUAUAUCGGAACGUGCCCGGUCGUGGGGGAUAACGUAGCGAAAGCUACGCUAAUACCGCAUACGAUCUACGGAUGAAAGCGGGGGAUCGCAAGACCUCGCGCGAUUGGAGCGGCCGAUAUCAGAUUAGGUAGUUGGUGAGGUAAAGGCUCACCAAGCCGACGAUCUGUAGCUGGUCUGAGAGGACGACCAGCCACACUGGGACUGAGACACGGCCCAGACUCCACGGGGGGCAGCAGUGGGGAAUUUUGGACAAUGGGCGCAAGCCUGAUCCAGCAAUGCCGCGUGCAGGAUGAAGGCCUCGG
rnacentral:rRNA from 1 species